rfam:Nematostella vectensis strain CH2 x CH6 NEMVEscaffold_218_Cont19373, whole genome shotgun sequence.
CAAAAGGUUCUUUUCAAAACCAUUAACAAACUUCUUGAGAAGAAGU